UCACCGGCGGGGAAGGAAGAGAUCGGGGCAAUGAAAGCGAGGAGCACCUAAGAAGGUUUUUCAUUAGACUCUAACAUCAGGAAGAAGGAAGACUGCUCUUUCUGAGAAUAAAACACAGUCAAAGAAGACGUACAAAGAGAUGCGAGUGAAGAAGACGAUCAAUGUUUUCUCAGAUUUUUCCAAGUACCAGACAAUUACACGGUGGGCUUCGAAUGGGCUUUUUUGUAUGGGGCCUUCUUUGCUACCAAAUCCAUUAAGUUCGCGUAUGUAGAACAAGUCUCCCAGUCCGCAUAAUGGCAUUUAACAAUGUCUACAUAGAUUUGUUGCCCCCAAAUUUAUGUUAUUCACCUGAUUAAAAAAAAAACAUACAGCUAUUUAUGUAACCAUACAGCUAUUUAUAUCGAAUCUCUAAGAUUUAUGUAACCAACGCGCCAAUAUCAAAUAGUAUGGUUUACAUUUAUAGAUUUAAAUAAGUUUGACUUCUAAAUGGAUUGACGUUAAUAUAAAUAGAAUGAUUAUCAAUACUGAAAGUCUGAAACUAAUGUGACCUCUCCCUAUGACCAUAGGCUAUUGUUUACAAGAAUUAAUUAAUCAAGGUCAAAACCACCAAAUAGUGGUAUUGUAUACAUUUGUACAAGAAUUCACCAAAAAGAGUGGUGCUCUAAAAGUAAAAACCAAAAUUAUCAGACUUAGGCCAAAGCUACAUUGAAAGGUACGGUGGACUACAUAGGUGGUAGACUUCAAGAGAUAUUAUAUAUAUUCUGUUGAUUUCAUGUAAUUUUGUACAAAUAUUCAUUAUUGCAAAUAUGUUGUAAUUUGUUGUAACGACUAGAAAAAUAAAAUACAAUCCCGUGUGUAACUUUUCUUAACCUA